rnacentral:rRNA from 1 species
ACGCGAGCUGGGUUCAGAACGUCGUGAGACAGUUCGGUCCCUAUCCGUCGCAGGCGUAGGAAAUUUGAGAAGACCUGUCCUUAGUACGAGAGGACCGGGAUGGACGUACCUCUGGUGUACCAGUUGUUCUGCCAAGGGCAUGGCUGGGUAGCUAUGUACGGAAUGGAUAAGCGCUGAAAGCAUCUAAGCGCGAAGCCAACUUCAAGAUAAGAUUUCCCACCGCAAGGGUAAGACCCCAGAAAGACUA